AGAGUUUGAUCAUGGCUCAGGACGAACGCUGGCGGCGUGCCUAAUACAUGCAAGUCGAGCGAGCGGAACUAACAGAUUUACUUCGGUAAUGACGUUAGGAAAGCGAGCGGCGGAUGGGUGAGUAACACGUGGGGAACCUGCCCCAUAGUCUGGGAUACCACUUGGAAACAGGUGCUAAUACCGGAUAAGAAAGCAGAUCGCAUGAUCAGCUUUUAAAAGGCGGCGUAAGCUGUCGCUAUGGGAUGGCCCCGCGGUGCAUUAGCUAGUUGGUAAGGUAAAGGCUUACCAAGGCGAUGAUGCAUAGCCGAGUUGAGAGACUGAUCGGCCACAUUGGGACUGAGACACGGCCCAAACUCCUACGGGAGGCAGCAGUAGGGAAUCUUCCACAAUGGACGCAAGUCUGAUGGAGCAACGCCGCGUGAGUGAAGAAGGUUUUCGGAUCGUAAAGCUCUGUUGUUGGUGAAGAAGGAUAGAGGUAGUAACUGGCCUUUAUUUGACGGUAAUCAACCAGAAAGUCACGGCUAACUACGUGCCAGCAGCCGCGGUAAUACGUAGGUGGCAAGCGUUGUCCGGAUUUACUGGGCGUAAAGCGAGCGCAGGCGGAAGAAUAAGUCUGAUGUGAAAGCCCUCGGCUUAACCGAGGAACUGCAUCGGAAACUGUUUUUCUUGAGUGCAGAAGAGGAGAGUGGAACUCCAUGUGUAGCGGUGGAAUGCGUAAAUAUAUGGAAGAACACCAGUGGCGAAGGCGGCUCUCUGGUCUGCAACUGACGCUGAGGCUCGAAAGCAUGGGUAGCGAACAGGAUUAGAUACCCUGGUAGUCCAUGCCGUAAACGAUGAGUGCUAAGUGUUGGGAGGUUUCCGCCUCUCAGUGCUGCAGCUAACGCAUUAAGCACUCCGCCUGGGGAGUACGACCGCAAGGUUGAAACUCAAAGGAAUUGACGGGGGCCCGCACAAG
rnacentral:rRNA from 1 species